rnacentral:rRNA from 1 species
CGUAGGCAGCAAGCGUUGUUCGGAGUUACUGGGCGUAAAGGGUGUGUAGGCGGUCUACUAAGUCUGGUGUGAAAUCUCCCGGCUCAACUGGGAGGGUGCGCCGGAAACUGGAAGGCUAGAGUGCGGGAUGGGAGAGUGGAAUUCCUGGUGUAGCGGUGAAAUGCGUAGAUAUCAGGAGGAACACCUGUGGUGUAGACGGCUCUCUGGACCGCAACUGACGCUGAGACACGAAAGCGUGGGUAGCAAACAGGAUUAGAUACCCUGGUAGUCCACGCCCUAAACGAUGCAUAUUUGGUGUGGGCCAUUCAUUUGGUCUGUGCCGGAGCUAACGCGUUAAAUAUGCCGCCUGGGGAGUACGGUCGCAAGGCUG